CGAAUUGUCCGUGGCUGCUCUCGGCCAAACUCGAUUUACUUCCCCAUGGCUGUAAACAGUAAACACUGCGCGAGGAGGAGAUGCAGAUCACGAACUGAAAGGCAGAGAGAGAGAGAGAGGCGGAAGGACGGCGUGGGCUGACUCGCGUGCCUGCUUUCUGGAACUGGGAAGCUUGCUAUGAGGCUACGAGACACGAAGAGAAGCCCCCUUCUCUCUGGCUUUGGCAAAAGGUCCCCAAAUUUCCAUUAUCUUACCUGAACUUCAUUUUCACUCUUCGCAACAACUUUACGUUAAAAUGAUGUGGCUGGGACUUUUAACAGAGUAUACGAAGCCUCGUUUUGACAUACAGAGCGCGGCUCCUCGAUCAACAGAUUGUUCCACAUUAAGGGCUUAUCAGACAGUUCGCUGGGCUGGAUUUCUACUCCUGAAGUUCCAUGGAGCUUCGCCAAGGAAAGGAGCGUAUCUCUUCUGGAUGUUGACAUUUGGAGCUCUUACAGCAAGGCUAAGGUUACCACCACACUCAUCCGAAGAUAACUCUCCUCUCUGAGUUUACAGCCGCCAACAUCAAGGCUAAUAAUAACAAAACGACACUCAUCGCCCAUGGAACCGCCUCGCGAUGUUGCUUAUUUUAAAGGUGGAACUGCGCUGAUUUUGAAAUCCAAACGCUCCAGACGCAAAAUUGUCUUUGCGUUGAAAAAACAGUGAGAUAUUUUUAAUCUCAUGAUGUUGCUUUAAUGUGCUAUUCAAGCUUUUCUUGCGUUAGUUAUUAUUAUUAUUAUUAUCAUUAUUAUUAUUAUUGUUGUUCUUGUUGUCGUUGUUGUUUCAGUUUUUACGUCAAUUUCUUUCACACUGAAGUAUUGCCGUUGUUUGUAAGCUUAGUUAAUAUGUAACCAGUCAGCUGAGUGAGCGCUUUUAUUUGCCGAGAGUCACUCAAAGCGAACACUGCAGUCAUUCAUACACCAAACGAAAAGGCUAUUUUGUAUUUCUGCUGCCGGAACAAUGCUAAUGUGUUUUGGGGAAAAGAUGAAAAACCAAUAAAGAGUAGCAUCCAUAUGUAAAA